CCUACGGGAGGCAGCAGUGGGGGAUAUUGCACAAUGGGGUAAACCCUGAUGCAGCGACGCCGCGUGUAGGAAGACGGUCCUCUGGAUUGUAAACUACUGUCCCCAGGGACGAAGAUGACGGUACCUGGGGAGGAAGCUCCGGCUAACUACGUGCCAGCAGCCGCGGUAAUACGUAGGGAGCGAGCGUUGUCCGGAAUUACUGGGUGUAAAGGGAGCGUAGGCGGGGAUGCAAGUUGGGUGUUAAAUCUACCGGCUAAACUGGUAGUCGCACUCAAAACUGCAGCUCUUGAGUGAAGUAGAGGCAGGCGGAAUUCCUAGUGUAGCGGUGAAAUGCGUAGAUAUUAGGAGGAACACCAGGUGCGAAGGCGGCCUGCUGGGCUUUUACUGACGCGGAGGCUCGAAAGUGUGGGGAGCAAACAGGAUUAGAUACCCCGGUAGUC
rnacentral:rRNA from 1 species